AUUAUUGAGAGAAGAUAGAAAGCAACUUUUGAUUGAUCAUUGUCUUCAAAAAUAUAUCGCAAAUUUAAGUCGGAAAGUGUGAUCGUUUAUUGAUAUCUAAUUUAAUUCUUCUGUGGUAAAUUAUUUAUGUUUUUACGUGAUGGAAAUUAAUACAAAUCUAUCAUGUCAUAUUUGCCAAAAACACUUCUCUUCUGCAUGGAAUUUUAGAAGACAUUUAAAGGCCCAACAUAGUUAUAAUGAGAGUAGUAAGUAUUUGAAAGAAAAGUAUGAGCCUAUGUAUAAAAUUUUAUUCUAGUACCGACUGAAGUAAGUUUACAAGUUGUUCCAUUGAAUGAUAAAGAAACUAAUACUCACAACAAUAUCCAAUGUCAUUUAUGUGCAAAAAAAUUUGCCACAGGUUUUAGCCUCAGAAGGCACUUAAAAAGUCAACAUGUAAACAUUGAAGAAGAUAAACCCACCAAAAAGCAAAGCAUUAAAGUUAGUCAUGAAAGUCAAGGUUAGUAACCCUAAUACAGACCAGCAUGGAUCAUGGAAGUUGAAAGUGCUUCCAUAAAACUGGAAAUGAAGAAAAAAAAAAUUGUUCAAACAAAAAUGAGGGGCAUAAAGUAUUAUUAGGAAUUGUCAAAACUUCAGUGAAACAUGUGGAAUUCAUUCCAAAACCAGAUCAAAUUGUUGAAGUUUUAUUACAGAGCAAUAACCAAGGUCGUGAAAGUGGAAACAAAAGUCAAGAAUAUGGCUGCUUACAGGAUAAAACAUCAUCAGCUACACAAAAACAUAUGAAAAAACAUCAGAAAAAACAAAGAAAUAAUGGAAAAAAAAGUUAAAUCAAUUAAGAUGCUUGGAAGAAAUGUGCCAUUUUAACUGUACUAGAUUAAAAAGCCUUCGUUAUCAUUUAGAGUUGAAACAUAAUAUUUUGCAAGAAGUGGAAGUACUACAGUUUGAAAGCAUUGAAGAAUUUAAAAAAUGGAAAAAUCAGGAGGAAAGCAAAUGUGUGGCAGUAUGGGUAAAAGCAUGUGGUAUUAAAAAAAAUAGACAAGGUGCACCUAUUUAUUACUAUUGUAAUCGAACUGGUAAAAGGAAAGUUUUGGCAGCAGCAAAAAGGAAACGUGCCCUAAAAGGGCAAGGCUCAUGCAAAAUUAAUGCUUCCUGUACUUCAGCCCUGAUAAUUAAGCAUAUUUCUCAAGGUGUAAAAGUAACCUAUUUUAAAAAUCAUUAUGGGCAUGAAAAAAAAAUGGCCUAUAUUUCAUUAUCCAUAAAUGAUAAAAAUAAGAUAGCACAACAAUUGAUACAAGGUAAUUAAAAUAUUAUCUAAAA